rnacentral:rRNA from 1 species
ACGGGCAUUGCCCAGUAACGGCGAGUGAAGCGGCAACAGCUCAAAUUUGAAAUCUGGCCCCCCGGCCCGAGUUGUAAUUUGGAGAGGAUGCUUUUGGCACGGCGCCGUCCGAGUUCCUUGGAACAGGACGCCACAGAGGGUGAGAGCCCCGUACGGACGGACGCCUAGCCUCUACAAAGCUCCUUCGACGAGUCGAGUAGUUUGGGAAUGCUGCUCAAAAUGGGAGGUAAAUUUCUUCUAAAGCUAAAUACCGGCCAGAGACCGAUAGCGCACAAGUAGAGUGAUCGAAAGAUGAAAAGCACUUUGAAAAGAGGGUUAAAAAGUACGUGAAAUUGUUGAAAGGGAAGCGCCUGUGACCAGACUUGCGCCCCGUGGACCAUCCGGCGUUCUCGCCGGUGCACUCCGCGGGGCGCAGGCCAGCAUCGGUUCUCCUAGGGGGAUAAAGGCCGCGGGAACGUAGCUCCUUCGGGAGUGUUAUAGCCCGUGGUGGCAUGCCCCUGGGGGGACCGAGGACCGCGCUUCGGCAAGGAUGCUGGCGUAAUGGUCACCAGCGACCCGUCUUGAAAACACGGACC